GAGCAGGAUCUAGGUACAAUGUAGCUGUAAAGUGCUGCAUUGUUUUUAACCCCUGCUCAAAAGAAAACUGCGACCUUCCGAGCCCCGUCUGCUGUGGUACCCAGGCCACGGGGAUGCUUGGUCUCAUACAG
rnacentral:snoRNA from 1 species